rnacentral:rRNA from 1 species
UACGUAGGGGGGCAAGCGUUGUCCGGAAUCAUUGGGCGUAAAGAGCGCGUAGGCGGCCCUGUAAGUCCGCUGUGAAAGUCAAGGGCUCAACCCUUGGAUGCCGGUGGAUACUGCAGGGCUAGAGUCCGGAAGAGGCGAGUGGAAUUCCAGGUGUAGCGGUGAAAUGCGUAGAUAUCUGGAGGAAUACCGGUGGCGAAGGCGGCAUCCUGGACCAUAACUGACGCUGAGGCGCGAAAGCUAGGGGAGCAAACGGG